UUCCCUCCAGAGUGGAUCCUGAGUACGGCGGAACACGUGAAAUUCCGUCGGAAUCCGGGAGGACCAUCUCCCAAGGCUAAAUACUCCCUAGUGACCGAUAGUGAACCAGUACCGUGAGGGAAAGGUGAAAAGCACCCCGGAAGGGGAGUGAAACAGUUCCUGAAACCGUGUGCCUACAAGUAGUUAGAGCCCGUUAAUGGGUGAUAGCGUGCCUUUUGUAGAAUGAACCGGCGAGUUACGAUUUGUUGCAAGGUUAAGCGGAAAAAGCGGAGCCGUAGCGAAAGCGAGUCUGAAUAGGGCGCAUAAGUAACAGGUCGUAGACCCGAAACCAGGUGAUCUACCCAUGUCCAGGAUGAAGGUAAGGUAAUACUUACUGGAGGUCCGAACCCACGCACGUUGAAAAGUGCGGGGAUGAGGUGUGGGUAGCGGAGAAAUUCCAAUCGAACUUGGAGAUAGCUGGUUCUCUCCGAAAUAGCUUUAGGGCUAGCCUCGAGGUAAAGAGUCAUGGAGGUAGAGCACUGUUUGGACUAGGGGCCCUUCUCGGGUUACCGAAUUCAGAUAAACUCCGAAUGCCAUGUAC
rnacentral:rRNA from 1 species